rnacentral:rRNA from 1 species
GACGAACGCUGGCGGCGUGCUUAACACAUGCAAGUCGAACGGUGAUGGAGAGCUUGCUCUCCGGAUCAGUGGCGAACGGGUGAGUAACACGUGAGUAACCUGCCCUUGACUCUGGGAUAAGCGUUGGAAACGACGUCUAAUACCGGAUACGACCCGUGAUGGCAUCUUCUACGGGUGGAAAGAAUUUUGGUCAAGGAUGGACUCGCGGCCUAUCAGCUUGUUGGUGAGGAAUGGCUCACCAAGGCGACGACGGGUAGCCGGCCUGAGAGGGUGACCGGCCACACUGGGACUGAGACACGGCCCAGACUCCUACGGGAGGCAGCAGUGGGGAAUAUUGCACAAUGGGCGAAAGCCUGAUGCAGCAACGCCGCGUGAGGGACGACGGCCUCGGUGUAAC